GAUGAACGCUGGCGGCGUGCCUAACACAUGCAAGUCGAGCGGCAGCGAGGGGUGCUUGCACCCUGUCGGCGAGCGGCGGACGGCUGAGUAACGCGUGGGAACGUGCCCCAAAGUGAGGAAUAACUGCCCGAAAGGGUAGCUAAUACCGCAUAUUAUCUUCGGAUCAAAGGAUUUAUCCGCUUUGGGAGCGGCUCGCGUCGGAUUAGGUAGUUGGUGAGGUAAUGGCUCACCAAGCCGACGAUCCGUAGCUAGUCUGAGAGGAUGACCAGCCAGACUGGAACUGAGACCCGGUCCAGACUCCUACGGGAGGCAGCAGUGAGGAAUCUUCCACAAUGGGCGAAAGCCUGAUGGAGCAACGCCGCGUGCAGGACGAAGGCCUUCGGGUUGUAAACUGCUUUUAUAAGUGAGGAAUAUGACGGUAACUUAUGAAUAAGGAUCGGCUAACUACGUG
rnacentral:rRNA from 1 species